rnacentral:rRNA from 1 species
CGGACGGGUGAGUAACGCGUGAGAAUCUGGCUCUAGGUCUGGGACAACCACUGGAAACGGUGGCUAAUACCGGAUGUGCCGAGAGGUGAAAGGUUAACUGCCUAGAGAUGAGCUCGCGUCUGAUUAGCUAGUUGGAAGUGUAAUGGACUCCCAAGGCGACGAUCAGUAGCUGGUCUGAGAGGACGAUCAGCCACACUGGGACUGAGACACGGCCCAGACUCCUACGGGAGGCAGCAGUGGGGAAUUUUCCGCAAUGGGCGAAAGCCUGACGGAGCAAUACCGCGUGAGGGAGGAAGGCUCUUGGGUCGUAAACCUCUUUUCUCAGGGAAGAACACAAUGACGGUACUUGAGGAAUAAGCAUCGGCUAACUCCGUGCCAGCAGCCGCGGUAAUACGGAGGAUGCAAGCGUUAUCCGGAAUGAUUGGGCGUAAAGCGUCCGCAGGUGGCAAUGUAAGUCUGCUGUUAAAGAGUCUAGCUCAACUAGAUAAGAGCAGUGGAAACUACAUAGCUAGAGUACGUUCGGGGCAGAGGGAAUUCCUGGUGUAGCGGUGAAAUGCGUAGAGAUCAGGAAGAACACCGGUGGCGAAGGCGCUCUGCUAGGCCGUAACUGACACUGAGGGACGAAAGCUAGGGGAGCGAAUGGGAUUAGAUACCCCCAGUAGUC